GGGUGAGUAACACGUGGAUAACCUACCUAUAAGACUGGGAUAACUUCGGGAAACCGGAGCUAAUACCGGAUAACAUGUUGAACCGCAUGGUUCAACAGUGAAAGACGGUCUUGCUGUCACUUAUAGAUGGAUCCGCGUCGCAUUAGCUAGUUGUAAGGUAACGGCUUACCAAGGCAACGAUGCGUAGCCGACCUGAGAGGGUGAUCGGCCACACUGGAACUGAGACACGGUCCAG
rnacentral:rRNA from 1 species